UACAUUCAUUGGGUUCAGAGGUGCAUA
rnacentral:sRNA from 1 species